rnacentral:rRNA from 2 species
UGAGGGAGCUUGCUCCCAAAGAUUAGCGGCGGACGGGUGAGUAACACGUGGGUAACCUGCCUGUAAGAUUGGGAUAACUCCGGGAAACCGGAGCUAAUACCGGAUAACAUUUCGAACCGCAUGGUUCGACAUUGAAAGAUGGCUUCGGCUAUCACUUACAGAUGGACCCGCGGCGCAUUAGCUAGUUGGUGAGGUAACGGCUCACCAAGGCGACGAUGCGUAGCCGACCUGAGAGGGUGAUCGGCCACACUGGGACUGAGACACGGCCCAGACUCCUACGGGAGGCAGCAGUAGGGAAUCUUCCGCAAUGGACGAAAGUCUGACGGAGCAACGCCGCGUGAACGAUGAAGGCCUUCGGGUCGUAAAGUUCUGUUGUUAGGGAAGAACAAGUACCAGAGUAACUGCUGGUACCUUGACGGUACCUAACCAGAAAGCCACGGCUAACUACGUGCCAGCAGCCGCGGUAAUACGUAGGUGGCAAGCGUUGUCCGGAAUUAUUGGGCGUAAAGCGCGCGCAGGUGGUUUCUUAAGUCUGAUGUGAAAGCCCACGGCUCAACCGUGGAGGGUCAUUGGAAACUGGGGAACUUGAGUGCAGAAGAGGAAAGUGGAAUUCCAAGUGUAGCGGUGAAAUGCGUAGAGAUUUGGAGGAACACCAGUGGCGAAGGCGACUUUCUGGUCUGUAACUGACACUGAGGCGCGAAAGCGUGGGGAGCGAACAGGAUUAGAUACCCUGGUAGUCCACGCCGUAAACGAUGAGUGCUAAGUGUUAGAGGGUUUCCGCCCUUUAGUGCUGCAGCAAACGCAUUAAGCACUCCGCCUGGGGAGUACGGUCGCAAGACUGAAACUCAAAGGAAUUGACGGG